GAGAAAUGAAAGCAUGUUUACGCAUAUACACUGGUGUGUGAAUGUCCCCAGCGGUACUGUUCGUAAUAGCCAAGAGCUGGGUUCCCGGUGGGGAGAACAGCACAGGAUAGUGGUCUGAAUCAGAAACGAUACUGUAAAAAGGGAUCCCUGUCUCCUCUGAGGAUGAACAAGCCUGAGCUAGCCUGAUGGAGGAUGGGAGAUACCUGGAGCAGAGAUGGGCCAUCCCAGCCCCUGAAGCACUUGACUGACCUGGCACCUGACCUCAGACAUAUCGUGAGGUGGCAAGACAGACUCUGAAGGUGGUCCCACGAUCCCCACCUCCUAGGACUCACGCUUGCGUUUCCCCCUCAUCCUGAGUUUGGAUGGCU